UACUCCAGGUCCUUCUUGUCUGGAGCAAACAAGCAGAUGAGACAAACCAAACACAGUGCCAAAAGUUUAUUUCAAAGUGAAUCCUAGAAGCUCACAUGGGUAAAGAGUUGGGAGCAAAACCCAGGCCCUGCGCUGACGUCAGUCUCCUAGCUUCCCACCAUCCUGCAGGGACACAACGCUUAACACUGGGGGAUGGUGGAAGGGCACAGAUGGACCCUCUAUCCCCUUCCUGCUGCUUGCUGCCAUCAGUUCCGGAAGUGUCUUUUGUGGCUUCAAAGCCAAGAGCCAGCUGUUUGUUUUCUUCACUCUUCCCAAGAUCAUUAAUGCCACUGACCACUGGGGGAAGGCUGGAAGCAGUCAGACGAGAGCCAGCUGGAUGGACGGCAGGAAGAAUGGUGCAGUCCCAGGUGUCAGGGUGGCACUGUGUACCACUGUGGGCUGCUGCACAGAGAUCUGAAAGAAAAGCAAGACCAGGAAGCCAGCCUGAGCCCUGGAAGCCACUCGGUCCCCAGCCUGUGAGUGCCUCGCAGUGCAGUCCCCUGCCCACAAGGAGAACCCACUUCAGUGACCCACACACAUAGGAAGCCUGGAAGCAGAUGGUGGCUCCCUGGUUAUGAGGGGCCCCGCUUCUCCCUGUCUUUUUUCUCUCACUUUAUUAGCAUGUUGCUUUCCUCUUCACAGUCCAAAGAUGGCUGCUGGCACUUGAGCCAAAACAGUCAAGUUACAGGCAAGAAGAAUAAAUAAAA